GACGAACGCUGGCGGCGUGCUUAAUACAUGCCAGUCGAACGGACAGGCCAUGCUUUUGUGGGGUGCUCGAGUGGCGAACGGGUGAGUAACACGUGUGUAAACUGCACCUGUCUUUCGGAUAACUUCAGGAAACUGGGGAUCAUACAGGAUAGGAGCUCCUGCUGCAUGGUGUGGGUUGGUAAGUUUCGGCGGUUGUGGAUGGACUCGCGGCUUAUCAGCUUGUUGGUGGGGUAGUGGCUUACCAAGGCUUUGACGGGUAGCCGGCCUGGGAGGUGUACCGGCGACAUUGCGACUAAGAUACGGCCCAGACUCCUACGGGAGGCAGCAGUGGAGAAUAUGACACAAUGGGCGGAAGCCUGAUGCAGCAACGCCGCGUGCGUGAUGACGGCCUUCGGGGGGUAAACCGCUUUCGCCGGUGACGAAGCGUGAUUGACGGUAAUGGGUAAAGAAGCACCGGCUAACUACGUG
rnacentral:rRNA from 1 species